GGAGUACGGCCGCAAGGUUAAAACUCAAAUGAAUUGACGGGGGCCCGCACAAGCGGUGGAGCAUGUGGUUUAAUUCGAUGCAACGCGAAGAACCUUACCUGGUCUUGACAUCCACGGAAGUUUUCAGAGAUGAGAAUGUGCCUUCGGGAACCGUGAGACAGGUGCUGCAUGGCUGUCGUCAGCUCGUGUUGUGAAAUGUUGGGUUAAGUCCCGCAACGAGCGCAACCCUUAUCCUUUGUUGCCAGCGGUCCGGCCGGGAACUCAAAG
rnacentral:rRNA from 1 species